GUGCCUAUGUGGUUUAUGAGGACAUUUUGUCUGAAUACACGCCACACUAUGAGGACAUUUUGAAUUAACGGGACAGGGCCGAUGUCCUCAUAAUUCCGACAACGUAGAAGUGUUUCUAGAAGCCUAAAAAGCUAGAAUUCAAAAUUUCAGCAAAAGUCUUCAUAGUACACAAUUAUCUGAUUUUGUGUAUAAAUUGUGUAUCGACAAACGCCCCAAGAGGUUGGUCUUGGUACUGCACCCCCUCAUUAAUAAUUCACACAAUGUGUAAAAUUCAGAGCUUUUGAUUGGCUCUCAGCCGGAAGGUCCACAUAAUACUGGGUUUUAUCAGGAAAGCUGUGUAUUCUACAAUUAACAAUACAGUAUCAUGAUGAACCAACGCAUUGACACCUGCACCUGCCUGUGUGAAGAGAGGAGAUCAAGAGGGAGUCAGCAUGUCUGUAAUGAGGCCACAGAGAGCUAAGAUUAAGCCUAAAGAAGAGGCAGCUUAUUUUUCAUCAUUGGGAAAGGACAAGGAUGGAUUUACUAUAAAAUAUAUUAAUUCAUUCAAAGGUCGAGGAGUGUUUAGUUGCCGCCACUUUCAGAAAGGAGACUUUCUCAUAGAAUAUCGAGGGGAAGUCUUAAGCAAAAAGGAGUAUGAGUACCGACUAAGACUGUACCAUGAUGCUCUGAUGGUUGAAUUAUACUACAAUGGGGAAAAAACUAUGUGUGGAUGCAGCAAAAGAGGAUGACUCCUUUGGCAGACUUGUCAAUGAUGACAAUAUAGACCCAAACUGUUGAAGGAAAGCCUCAUCUGUGUUUGUUUGCCAUCAAGGACAUCAGGCCAGGGGAGGAGAUCACAUACAACUAUGGAGACUCAGACUGGCCGUGGAGAUCAAAGAUUUCAACGGAGACAGAGGAUCACCAUGCCGUCGUGAUAUGUGACAGCCUCAAAGAUGUUGAACAGAUAUCAACUGAGGCAGAGGGUCACCAUGUGGUUGUGGCAUCUGACAGCCUCAAAGAUGUUGAAAAGAUUUCAACUGAUGUAGAGGAUCACCAUGCUGCCGUGGUAUCGGACAGACUCAAAGAUUUUGAACAGGUAUUGGAUGAGAGAGAUUCUCCUACCAUGCCUCCUCUCCUUUCUUGUCCAGACAUGACAAUUCCUGAUUGUCACUCGGACAAUAUUCAUCAAAACUGCAAACACGAUGUGGUUUCCUCAGUAGUUCCAAGCUUCGAGAAAUGUGCCGUGUGCAACGGACCCUUUUCUGCCUUGAGAUGGCUUAGUAUUAAAGAAGAUCUGCAAUGUCUCCAUUGACAGGCCACCUGUUGAGGAACCUCCAGGCACCUCAGACGAUAUUGACUCUUCCCUAGAAGGCACAUCUACAGCGUUCAACGAAUACAUAGACAGGGUGAACAAAGAGCAUGGCAGGACAGCAGAGGAGCAUGACCAACCUGUGUCUCCUGGAGAUUGCCCGGAGAGACAGAAUCAAAGAAGGAAACGGAAAAGGCAGUGGUCCCCAAAAGAGGUUGCCGCUAUAAUGAGACAUUUUAAAAAGCACAUUGCCAAGGGAAAACUGGCCACAAGAAUGCAGUGCAAGAACGCUGAACAUCCUGAUCUUGAUAAGCGGUCACUUCAAAACAUUAGAGUCUUUGUUAGAAAUCGGGGCAUAACUCUGAAAAAGAAAACCAGCCAAUAAAGUGUUAUGUUGCUGUUAUGAUGCAAUGAUGUUGUAGUUCUUUGUUCUUAAAAAAGGGCAAGUUUCUGCUGAUG